ACAUGCAAGUCGAACGGCAGCGCGGGGCAACCUGGCGGCGAGUGGCGAACGGGUGAGUAAUAUAUCGGAACGUACCCAAGAGUGGGGGAUAACGUAGCGAAAGUUACGCUAAUACCGCAUACGAUCCAAGGAUGAAAGCAGGGGAUCUUCGGACCUUGUGCUCCUGGAGCGGCCGAUAUCUGAUUAGCUAGUUGGUGAGGUAUAGGCUCACCAAGGCCACGAUCAGUAGCUGGUCUGAGAGGACGACCAGCCACACUGGAACUGAGACACGGUCCAGACUCCUACGGGAGGCAGCAGUGGGGAAUUCUGGACAAUGGGCGAAAGCCUGAUCCAGCAAUGCCGCGUGAGUGAAGAAGGCCUUCGGGUUGUAAAGCUCUUUUGUCAGGGAAGAAACGGUGAGGGCUAAUAUCCUUCGCUAAUGACGGUACCUGAAGAAUAAGCACCGGCUAACUACGUGCCAGCAGCCGCGGUAAUACGUAGGGUGCAAGCGUUAAUCGGAAUUACUGGGCGUAAAGCGUGCGCAGGCGGUUUUGUAAGUCUGACGUGAAAUCCCCGGGCUCAACCUGGGAAUUGCGUUGGAGACUGCAAGGCUAGAAUCUGGCAGAGGGGGGUAGAAUUCCACGUGUAGCAGUGAAAUGCGUAGAGAUGUGGAGGAACACCGAUGGCGAAGGCAGCCCCCUGGGUCAAGAUUGACGCUCAUGCACGAAAGCGUGGGGAGCAAACAGGAUUAGAUACCCUGGUAGUCCACGCCCUAAACGAUGUCUACUAGUUGUCGGGUUUUAAUUAACUUGGUAACGCAGCUAACGCGUGAAGUAGACCGCCUGGGGAGUACGGUCGCAAGAUUAAAACUCAAAGGAAUUGACGGGGACCCGCACAAGCGGUGGAUGAUGUGGAUUAAUUCGAUGCAACGCGAAAA
rnacentral:rRNA from 1 species